AUGUCGGCGUCGGCCUGCGCCCCGGAGACCGCGCAGGGCACGCACCUGUUCAAGAUCGACGGCUACAGCCUGUGCAGGGGCCUCGGCGUCGGCAAGUCCAUCCGGUCCACCACCUUCCGCGUCGGCGGCCACGACUGGUGCGUCUACUUCUACCCCGACGGCCUCACCGAGGACAGCAAGGACUACGUUUCAGUCUUCCUCGAGCUCAGGACCGAGAACGCAGAGGCGAGGGCGCUCUACCAUCUGAGGGUGGUCGACCAGGUCUGGCCGCCGCCACCUUUCACGUGGCCGAUCCCCAGCCAGUACCAGCCGCUGGUGUUUAACUCCGCUGAUGACUAUGAGCGCUGCUGGGGCUACACCCAUUUCAUGAGGAGGACGGAGCUGCGGCCGUACGUUCUGGAGGACACCCUUAUCCUCGAGUGCAAUCUUGCCGUCAUCGAGUUGAAGGACGCCCAAGAGGCUGAUGUCAAGGUUAACUUUGAGGCCCAGGCGCCGCCGUCCGAAUUGGUUGAUAACCUUAGCAGCUUGCUGGAGGCUACGGAGGGAUCUGAUGUGUCUUUCAAGGUCAAGGAGGAGGUUUUCCCAGCCCAUAAGAUCAUCCUCGCAAUGCGGUCGCCGGUCUUCAGGGUGAAGUUCUACGGCCCGAUGAGGGAUGAGAGUAGCCGCAGCAUAACCGUCGAAGACAUGCAGCCCGCUGUUUUCAGAGGACUGCUUCACUUCAUCUACACUGAUUCGUUGCCUCCAUUGGAUUACCUGGAUGACGAUGAGUAUGAAGAAAUGGUUAGGCAUUUGCUGGUGGCCGCAGAUAGGUACGCCAUGGAAAGGAUGAAGUACAUGUGCGAGAUCAAACUUUGUGAGGUUCUUCAUACCGGGACUGUUGCGACCACCUUAGCUUUAGCCGAUCAGCAUCAUUGCAGCAAGCUCAAAGAUGCAUGCAUUGGAUUCAUCAACUCUUCAAAUAGAAUGGUUGGUAUGAUGGCAAGUAAAGGGUACGAGUCCCUGAAAAGGACAUGUCCUUCUGUCAUUGCUGAUAUAUUGGAGAAAGCAGCUAAGACUCGUAGAAUUUAG
rnacentral:rRNA from 1 species